rnacentral:rRNA from 1 species
GAAGAAGGCUGGCGGCGUGCUUAACACAUGCAAGUCGAACGGAAAGGCCCUGCUUUUGUGGGGUGCUCGAGUGGCGAACGGGUGAGUAACACGUGAGUAACCUGCCCUUGACUUUGGGAUAACUUCAGGAAACUGGGGCUAAUACCGGAUAGGAGCUCCUGCUGCAUGGUGGGGGUUGGAAAGUUUCGGCGGUUGGGGAUGGACUCGCGGCUUAUCAGCUUGUUGGUGGGGUAGUGGCUUACCAAGGCUUUGACGGGUAGCCGGCCUGAGAGGGUGACCGGCCACAUUGGGACUGAGAUACGGCCCAGACUCCUACGGGAGGCAGCAGUGGGGAAUAUUGCACAAUGGGCGGAAGCCUGAUGCAGCAACGCCGCGUGCGGGAUGACGGCCUUCGGGUUGUAAACCGCUUUCGCCUGUGACGAAGCGUGAGUGACGGUAAUGGGUAAAGAAGCACCGGCUAACUACGUG